GUACCCGCCCAGCUGCUGGAGGCGCCGGCAGCGCCCGCCAGACCCGCCAGCCCAGCGGCCCGGGCUCUGGGGAAACCGGCGCUCCCGACAGGGGAGCACCGGGCCUCUGAGCUCCCUCGGGAGCCUUUCACGAGGUCAGCUACGUCUUUGUUGUGCGCGUUCCUGAACUUUUGGUCCAUUAACCAACAAUUAGACACGCCGGUAUUCAGUGCCUGGCGCGGUGCUAGAUGCUGGGUGUAAUCUCAGAAAAAUACAUUCAGGGGCGCGCCUGAGGGUGCUGGCUGCUGGCAUCUCAGGUGCUUUACGUGCAUUCGUGAAGAAGCCCAUCAGUAUUUCUUGAAUACCAGACCCCAAGCUAAGUGAAGCUUUAGCCUCUAAGCUCAACAUGUAUGAAGCUUUGCCAGGCCCUGCUCCUGAAAAUGAAGAUGGCCUUGUGAAAGUGAAGGAGGAAGAUCCCACCUGGGAGCAGGUGUGCAACUCACAGGAGGGCAGCUCCCACACUCAGGAGAUUUGCCGCCUGCGCUUUCGGCACUUCUGCUACCAGGAGGCUCACGGACCCCAGGAAGCUCUGGCCCAACUCCGAGAACUUUGUCAUCAAUGGCUGAGACCGGAGAUGCACACCAAGGAACAGAUAAUGGAACUGCUGGUGCUGGAGCAGUUCCUGACCAUCCUGCCCAAGGAGCUCCAGCCCUGUGUGAAGACAUAUCCUCUGGAGAGUGGAGAGGAGGCAGUGACAGUGCUGGAGAAUCUAGAGACAGGAAGUGGAGACACAGGACAACAGGCCUCUGUCUAUAUUCAGGGACAGGACAUGCACCCAAUGGUGGCAGAAUAUCAAGGAGUCUCUUUGGAGUGUCAGAGCCUCCAGCUCCUGCCUGGGAUAACCACCCUGAAGUGUGAACCUCCACAGCGUCCUCAAGGGAACCCCCAAGAAGUGAGUGGGCCUGUUCCCCACGGAUCAGCUCAUCUCCAGGAAAAAAACCCCAGAGACAAGGCUGUAGUGCCUGUGUUUAACCCAGUCAGGUCCCAGACAUUGGUGAAGACUGAGGAAGAAACAGCCCAGGCCGUUGCUGCAGAGAAGUGGUCACAUCUGAGUCUGACUCGGAGGAACCUCUGUGGGAACUCAGCUCAGGAGACAGUUAUGAGCCUCAGUCCGAUGAUUUUUUUAAAGAUGGGGUCUCGCUUUGUUGCCCAUGCUGGAGCAUAGUGGCACGAUGAUAGUUCACUGCAGCCUCAAACUCCUGGGCUCAACUGAUCCUCCCACCUCAGCCUUCUAAAAAGCUGGGGCUACACCCAGCUGAAGAAAUUGUAACUAAAGAUAGAUUGUUUAAAGCAAAGCAAGAAACUUCUGAAGAAAUGGAACAAAGUGGAGAAGCCUCAGGAAAGCCCAACAGAGAGUGUGCACCCCAGAUUCCUUGUAGUACUCCUAUUGCUACUGAAAGGACAGUUGCACAUUUGAACACUCUGAAGGACCGUCACCCAGGUGAUUUGUGGGCCCGCAUGCACAUCUCAUCCCUGGAAUAUGCUGCAGGAGACAUUACCCGAAAAGGGAGAAAAAAAGACAAAGCUCGAGUGAGUGAACUGCUCCAAGGCCUCUCAUUCUCUGGUGACUCAGAUGUGGAAAAAGAUAAUGAGCCUGAGAUCCAGCCUGCUCAAAAGAAGUUAAAGGUAUCAUGUUUCCCAGAAAAGAGUUGGACCAAAAGAGACAUUAAACCCAAUUUUCCAAGCUGGUCAGCACUGGAUUCUGGACUUUUGAAUCUCAAGAGCGAAAAGUUGAACCCAGUAGAGCUUUUUGAAUUAUUUUUUGAUGAUGAAACAUUCAACUUAAUUGUCAAUGAAACCAAUAAUUAUGCUUCUCAGAAAAAUGUCAGCUUGGAAGUCACAGUUCAGGAAAUGAGGUGUGUGUUUGGUGUCUUACUUUUGAGUGGAUUUAUGAGGCAUCCUAGAAGGGAAAUGUAUUGGGAAGUCUCUGACACCGAUCAGAACCUGGUUAGAGAUGCAAUCAGAAGGGACAGAUUUGAAUUGAUUUUCUCAAACCUGCACUUUGCAGAUAAUGGCCACCUAGAUCAAAAAGAUAAGUUUACAAAGUUGAGACCUCUCAUAAAACAAAUGAAUAAAAAUUUCCUCUUGUAUGCUCCCCUGGAAGAAUACUAUUGCUUUGAUAAGUCAAUGUGUGAAUGCUUUGAUAGUGACCAAUUCCUGAAUGGAAAGCCUAUUAGAAUUGGCUAUAAAAUUUGGUGUGGUACAACCACACAGGGUUAUCUGGUUUGGUUUGAACCCUAUCAAGAAGAAUCAACUAUGAAGGUAGAUGAGGAUCCUGAUCUUGGGUUAGGUGGAAAUCUAGUGAUGAACUUCGCUGAUGUUCUUUUAGAGAGAGGUCAGUAUCCCUAUCACCUGUGUUUUGAUAGCUUCUUUACAAGUGUCAAAUUGUUGUCAGCCUUGAAAAAGAAGGGGGUGAGGGCAACAGGAACAAUUCGUGAGAACAGGACCGAAAAAUGUCCCCUUAUGAAUGUAGAACAUAUGAAAAAAAUGAAGAGAGGGUAUUUUGAUUUCCGAAUAGAAGAAAACAAUGAGAUAAUUUUGUGUCGUUGGUAUGGGGAUGGCAUUAUCAGUCUGUGCUCCAAUGCUGUGGGCAUAGAACCAGUCAAUGAGGUAAGCUGUUGUGAUGCUGAUAACGAAGAAAUCCCUCAGAUAAGUCAACCAUCCAUAGUAAAAGUGUAUGAUGAAUGCAAGGAAGGUGUAGCUAAAAUGGAUCAAAUUAUUUCGAAAUACAGGGUGAGGAUAAGAAGCAAGAAAUGGUACUCAAUUUUGGUGAGCUACAUGAUUGAUGUAGCCAUGAACAAUGCAUGGCAACUACACAGAGCCUGUAACCCAGGUGCUUCUCUAGACCCCUUGGAUUUUCGGAGAUUUGUUGCACAUUUCUACUUGGAACACAAUGCUCAUCUGUCAGAUUAGGGUACAUAAAAUGGACAUAGUGCAGACAUUAAUAAGACAUAGAAAAAUAAUAAUUAUACAUGCUGUUGUACCCUCCCAAAGUAAAUCUGAUAUAUGUAAUGAAGUUAUUAAAUAAUACUUUUAAAAAUCAGACAUUUAUAUAGAGUUUCAAAGACUAUUGUAACAAGUAAUGUUAAAAAUUGUCUGUGAGAAUGUUGAACUGUAGUACCUUUCUCUAUGUCAAGUUUUGUGUCAGACAUGGGAAAUCAUGUAUUUGUUCAAUUGA